rnacentral:rRNA from 1 species
UGGGGGAUUUUGCACAAUGGGGGAAACCCUGAUGCAGCGACGCCGCGUGAUUUAGAAGGCCUUCGGGUUGUAAAAAUCUUUUCUAUGGGAAGAAAAUGACAGUACCAUAGGAAUAAGGACCGGCUAAUUACGUGUCAGCAGCCGCGGUAAUACGUAAGGUCCGAGCGUUGUCCGGAAUCAUUGGGCGUAAAGGGUACGUAGGCGGGUAAGCAAGUUAGAAGUGAAAUCCUAUAGCUCAACUAUAGUAAGCUUUUAAAACUGCUCAUCUUGAGGUAUGGAAGGGAAAGUGGAAUUCCUAGUGUAGCGGUGAAAUGCGCAGAUAUUAGGAGGAAUACCGGUGGCGAAGGCGACUUUCUGGCCAUAACCUGACGCUGAGGUACGAAAGCGUGGGUAGCAAACAGG